UGGCUUAGAGGUUAAGAGCACUGGCUACUCUUCCAGAGGACCUGGGUUCAAAUCCCAG
rnacentral:tRNA from 1 species